CUUUAAUAAAUAUAAAAAAUUAACACAAAAACAUUUAGGUCAUUAUCAACAUAAUUUAAACAAGACAUAUCAACCCCAACACCUUUAACAAUUCUACCCCAGACAAUGACCCACUUAAACAAUAAACUGAUAUCAUAUUAUAAACAAUAUAAAUAUGAUAUAAACAUAAGGCAUAGCCCCAGAGGGCAUGAUUUUCCAUAUUUCACAAUGUAGGGGUAUACCGAGAUACCUCUACACACUAGGUUUGAAGCUACCAACGAGCUUGAAUCUACCAAUACCAUUCCAAACCAAACUGUUCUUAUCGAACUAAAACUAUCCCACAUAUGAAAAACGACCUACACCCCAACUUUUCUACCCAUUCCGUGCUGCCGUGACCAAACUAGAGCUCGAAACCUAAAGGGAGGGUGGGUCAACAACAGGUAAGUGAAGAUUAAAUUAAGAUGGCCCCUGAUCUAAAAUAGGCCCUUUUUAUACCCCUAAGACAAGGCCCCGUCCUUACUGCACUCAGUACCCAAUCACUGACACUGACAACAUUCUAUGCCGGUCUCCUAGCAAUGUCAACGCCCAUUCCUCUUUCCCUUUAACCUGUGCCCCUUCACCUCUAAUAUCCAUGCAACCUGUCCCCCUUCACCUCUAAUAUCCAUUCAACCUGUCCCCCUUCACCCCUAAUAUCCUUUUAACCUGUCCCCUUCACCUCUAAUAUCAAUUAAACUUGUCCCCUCUUCACCACUAAUAUCCAUUGGACCUGUCAGUCUUCACCUCUAUUACUUUAACAUGUCCCCCUCACCUUUUAGUAACCCUUUAACCUGUCCCCUCACCUCUAGCCUUUUUAUUCCAGCUCCCCUUCAUCUGCAAUGCUAAC